rnacentral:rRNA from 1 species
GACGAACGCUGGCGGCGUGCUUAACACAUGCAAGUCGAACGGAAAGGCCCUGCUUGCAGGGUGCUCGAGUGGCGAACGGGUGAGUAACACGUGGGUGAUCUGCCCCUUACUUUGGGAUAAGCCUGGGAAACUGGGUCUAAUACUGGAUAGGACCAUGCUGUAGGUGGUGUGGUGGAAAGAUUAGUUUCGGUAAGGGAUGAGCUCGCGGCCUAUCAGCUUGUUGGUGGGGUAAUGGCCUACCAAGGCGUCGACGGGUAGCCGGCCUGAGAGGGUGGACGGCCACAUUGGGACUGAGAUACGGCCCAGACUCCUACGGGAGGCAGCAGUGGGGAAUAUUGAACAAUGGGCGCAAGCCUGAUGCAGCGACGCCGCGUGGGGGAUGACGGCCUUCGGGUUGUAGACUCCUUUCAGCCAUGACGAAGCCCUUGUGGUGACGGUAGUGGUAGAAGAAGCACCGGCUAACUACGUG